GAUGAACGCUGGCGGCGUGCCUAAUACAUGCAAGUCGAGCGAACGGACGAGAAGCUUGCUUCUCUGAUGUUAGCGGCGGACGGGUGAGUAACACGUGGAUAACCUACCUAUAAGACUGGGAUAACUUCGGGAAACCGGAGCUAAUACCGGAUGAUAUUUUGAACCGCAUGGUUCAAAAGUGAAAGACGGUCUUGCUGUCACUUAUAGAUGGAUCCGCGCUGCAUUAGCUAGUUGGUAAGGUAACGGCUUACCAAGGCAACGAGGCAUAGCCGACCUGAGAGGGUGAUCGGCCACACUGGAACUGAGACACGGUCCAGACUCCUACGGGAGGCAGCAGUAGGGAAUCUUCCGCAAUGGGCGAAAGCCUGACGGAGCAACGCCGCGUGAGUGAUGAAGGUCUUCGGAUCGUAAAACUCUGUUAUUAGGGAAGAACAUAUGUGUAAGUAACUGUGCACAUCUUGACGGGACCUAAUCAGAAAGCCACGGCUAACUACGU
rnacentral:rRNA from 1 species